rnacentral:rRNA from 1 species
UACGUAGGGGGCGAGCGUUGUCCGGAUUUAUUGGGCGUAAAGAGCUCGUAGGCGGCUUGUCGCGUCGACUGUGAAAACCCGCGGCUCAACUGCGGGCCUGCAGCCGAUACGGGCAGGCUAGAGUUCGGUAGGGGAGACUGGAAUUCCCAGUGUAGCGGUGAAAUGCGUAGAUAUUGGGAAGAACACCUGAGGCGAAGGCGGGUUGCUGGGCCGACACUGACGCUGAG